GCAGUUUACUGCUCUCACUAUUGGAUGAGCCUGCGUAAGAUUAGCUUGUUGGUGGGGUAAUGGCCUACCAAGGCGACGAUCUUUAGCUGGUCUGAGAGGACGAUCAGCCACAUUGGGACUGAGACACGGCCCAGACAUCUACGGAUGGCAGCAGUUAAGAAUAUUGGACAAUGGGGGCAACCCUGAUCCAGGUAUACCGCGUGUGUGAAGAAGGCCCUAGGGUUGUAAAGCACUUUAAUCAGAGAAGAAGCAUUUUAAGUUAAUACCUUAAUAUGUUGACGUUACCUGAAGAAUAAGGACCGGCUAACUCCGUGCCAGCAGCCGCGGUAAUACGGAGGGUCCAAGCGUUAAUCGGAAUUACUGGGCGUAAAGCGCGCGUAGGCGGUUUAGCAAGUUGUAUGUGAAAGCCCUGGGCUCAACCUAGGAACUGCAUCCAAAACUACUAAGCUAGAGUACGAGAGAGGAGAGUAGAAUUUCUGGUGUAGCGGUGAAAUGCGUAGAUAUCAGAAGGAAUACCAAUGGCGAAGGCAGCUCUCUGGCUCGUCACUGACGCUGAGGUGCGAAAGCGUGGGUAGCAAACAGGAUUAGAUACCCUGGUAGUCCACGCCGUAAACGAUGAGAACUAGCCGUUGGGCAGAUUUAACUGUUCAGUGGCACAGCUAACGCAUUAAGUUCUCCGCCUGGGGAGUACGGCCGCAAGGCUAAAACUCAAAUGAAUUGACGGGGGCCCGCACAAGUGGUGGAGCAUGUGGUUUAAUUCGAUGCAACGCGAAGAACCUUACCAACCCUUGAAAUCUAGCGAAGUUCACAGAGAUGAGAAUGUGCCUUCGGGAACGCUAUGACAGGUGUUGCAUGGCUGUCGUCAGCUCGUGUCGUGAGAUGUAUGGUUAAGUCCAGUAACGAGCGCAACCCCUAUCCUUAUUUGCCAGCGCGUUAAGCGG
rnacentral:rRNA from 1 species